GACAGAGGGUGCAAACGUUGUUCGGAAUUACUGGGCGUAAAGCGUGUGUAGGCGGCUUCGCAAGUCGGAUGUGAAAGCCCCGGGCUCAACCCGGGAAGUGCACUCGAUACUGCGGAGCUAGAGUGUCGGAGAGGUUGGUGGAAUUCUCGGUGUAGAGGUGAAAUUCGUAGAUAUCGAGAGGAACACCGGUGGCGAAGGCGGCCAACUGGACGAACACUGACGCUGAGACACGAAAGCUGGGGGAGCAAACAGG
rnacentral:rRNA from 1 species